rnacentral:lncRNA from 1 species
AGAACCAUAUGAAUGAAUAGUAACUCAACGUCUGAAGCAGUUGUAGAUGUUUCUUUUUAAGGAAGAUGCCGUCCUACUACGAUGGCUUCCUCCCGUGAUUAACUAAUGUGUAUACCAGGAGGACAAUGGGAAACAGGUCAGGCCAGUGAACAAAAGGUCGUCUUUAUGGUGACUUUUUUGUUUUGUUUUGUUUUUAACAACCCGGUGGUCUGAUCAGAUUCUUACUGGUUUGACAUUUCCUGCGUGCGUUCAUAUAAACAGCGGAAGUGUCAGUUCUGCUGUUAACAGUGUCAUGUUUAAGUUUCAGUUCAUUUGCAGAAAUGUUGUCUAUUGCAUGAGCAUUAGAUUAGCUACAAAUAACAAACUUUUGAACAACAGUCUGCCCAAGUUGUGGGUAGACACUGUAACAGACUCUAAAGGGAAACGGCAGAGAGCUGGCGGCACAAUUGUUCCCGGAGGACUUCCCUUCCUGUGGGGGUGUCACACAGGAUGGCUUGAAACCUGCUGACACUUGAGACUGAAUGGACAUGCAGGUGCUAGGCCAUAUGUCAGAUAUUAAUAUAUCUCUUACCUAAUGAUGCAAAUCAAAUUUCAUUGCACCCAAGUGACCCC